rnacentral:lncRNA from 1 species
UUAUAGAUAUUUGCAGUAAUCUAGAUAUUGAACAAGAGAUUUUGUGUUUUAUUGCUUAUCUUUAUUUUCAGAUUAUAUUAUUAUAUUGAUGUGAUAUGAGAAUUUUUACUGAACUGUAAAGCUCACAUCCUUCCAUUUCUCUUUUUCUUCUCAGAGUUAUAGGAUGCUCAUGGUUGACUAUGGUAUGAAUUUACAAGUGAACGGAUGC